GACGUAGGGCACGAGCGUUGUCCGGAUUUAUUGGGCGUAAAGAGCUCGUAGGCGGCUCAUUGCGUCAACCGUGAAAACUUGUGGCUCAACUACAAGCUUGCGGUUGAUACGGGUGGGCUGGAGUUCGGUAGGGGAGACUGGAAUUCCUGGUGUAGCGGUGAAAUGCGCAGAUAUCAGGAGGAACACCGGUGGCGAAGGCGGGUCUCUGGGCCGAUACUGACGCUGAGGAGCGAAAGCGUGGGGAGCGAACAGG
rnacentral:rRNA from 1 species